rnacentral:rRNA from 1 species
AACAGUAAUCGAAGUUAGUACGAGAGGAACAUUUCGUUCAGGUACUUGGUAAAUGUUGCUAGCUGAAAAGCUAAUGUUGCAAAGCUACCAUCUGUUGGAUUACGACUGAACGCCUCUAAAUCGGAAUCCAUGCUGGCUAUGCAGUGUUGUUCAUCAUUGCUGUUUGGAACUGACAAAUACUAGGUCUUGGCACUGUUGCGUGAUCCAUUUUGCGAAGGGAAUGGUGGUUGAUUUGAAUUUGGGCAUUCGGAAAUGAUAAAUCUUUUGUAGACGACCUUUUU